rnacentral:lncRNA from 10 species
AAACUGAAGCUCAGCGAAGCUAGUAAUUUGCCUAUAGCCAUCCAGUUGGUAUUUUUGUCUGGAAAACUUAAGGAGAAGUUUGUUUAGCCCACCAUUUCAUCAGAAUAAGAGUACUAUCCUUGCCUUCUUUAUUAUGUGGUUCUUCAUUCUGGAACACUCUGAAGCAGUAGCAUUGUAUGUACUUGGCGUAACAGCCAUUGACACUUGGUAGAAAAGAUACAAAUGAAACAGCAUUCCAAAGAGUUAAAGAAGCCAGUAACUAUCAACAGUUCUUGAGCCUGCAGCAUAGCAGAUUAUAAAAACCCAACUUGCUAAAAUGCUAAAACUCUCUGCCUGUAAGAUAACUAAACUAGCUGAAAUUGGUUGGAACCGAUAUGACCGAUUGGAGUUUACACAGAAUGAGCUUGCUGAUGUUACAGCCUAAACUUCCAGUUUGUUUUAUACCAACUUCCUCCAAAUUUCCACAAAGGUCCUAUGAAGAAGGAUGAAGAGGUAACUGCACAUUUCUUAUGACUUUCCAGACCUCACCUUUCCUUCUGCCAAAUCACCUACUAAUCCCAGAAUUCACCCUGUAAACCUUUUCUAAUAAAAUUACAGCCAUAAAGCCAACACAAAGAGACAGGUUUGAGCUGGACUCUUGUCUCUUUGUCAGUCAACUAGCAAUACAAAGCUUUUCUUUUCUUAAAAUCCUGGUGACAUAUUGGCUUCUAAUACAUCAGGCAGUGAGCAAUAACAAUAACAAUGAUAAUGCUGUUGGUGAUUAUAACUUUUGCUUAAAAAACCCUCUAUAAUCUAAAAAUGAGGUAUUUUUCUUGUAUCCACAUGUUGUUCUACAAAAAUGUAAUAUAUAAAAUGCAACUUAGUGAGAUCACCCUGGUAAUCUCAUAUUGUCAACAGGGCAUUGUUACAUAACCACUAGCAAGAAGUUAGGUACAGUUUUCUCAGUAUCAGGAAGCUGAAUCAGGACCAUGAUUUUUUUCGUGAAUUGUCCUCAAGAGCUCUGUAAAUACAUCAAACAGAUCUGUGAAAGCGAAUCUAGUUAUUUAAUAGGUUCUACUUCUAGUUCUACUUAUUUAAUAGGCCAAAAAUGGCUUCUCAAAAUUAGUUGCAACUGCAAUCAUAGUUACGUUUGCUUGGCUGGAAGAAGUCAAAGUCCUUUUCAAACUCUAGACUGGAUAACUGUGAAGGUUAAUUUGGGGGAUAGAGAAGGUCAACAAUAAAUUGU